rnacentral:tRNA from 4 species
AGGAUAGUAGUUAAAUAUAACAUUUGGGUUGCAUUCAAAAAGUAUUGAUUAUUCAAUCUAUCUUA